CAAUCAGAAAGGGAAAGAAAGGGCACGGGGAGCUUAAGGGGGGAAAACAGAAGGGAAGAAAGAAGGAAAUGGAGAGCAGAGGGAGAGGGUGACGGAACAGAGAAGAAGAGGGAGAAGUGGAUCGUCAUCGGGGAGGGAGGAGACUGCCGCCGUCGUGAAACAUCACUGUGCGCUGCCAUCGAGUACACGAACCAGAGGGAGACGUGAGCAGUGACUGAGAGGAAGCUCCGUCCUCGUCGCCGUUCCAUAGUCGCUGUUGAAGCCAACCUCGUUGUCGUCGAAUCGUUGCUGCUGUGCCGCCAUCAAGUCUGAGUUGAGGAAAGGAGACGUGGAGUCGGUGUCGCCCAGAGAGAAACGCGAAUGGCGAGGCGAAGCAGAACGCAUGGUGGGAAGGCUUUCCUUGCCACUGCCGCCGCCGGAAUCAUGAACCAAGGUAGAGGAGAAGGCCGUCUUCCCCGUUGCUGCUAUAAUCGUCCGUGCUGCUGCCGGUGCUUCCUUGUUCUGUUAUUCCUUUCUAAUUCUUAAUUAUUACUCUACCCAAUAUGAAUUCAUUGUUUUGCUCACUGUCGUGGCCAACUCGCGUUGCUGCUGCCCUGUCAAAGCUGUUGUGAGUGUUGCUAACAUUGGCGGAUAAAGGAUGAAGGAGCUGCUGCAUUUUGGGUGCAGCCCAACCUGUCAUCACGCCACAAUUCCGUCUUCGGUUUCGGUUUCUAUGAAAUUCGACAUUGAGCGACAGGUUUGAAGACGCAAUUUGAAGCUGCGAGCGAUCAGAUUUACAGGAAGUAUGCUGUCUUCAGCAAAUUAUAUGCGUGUACAUUUGUUGUGAAAAUCAUUGUCACCUCUUUGCUUGUUCUACUUCUCCGGUGGCAAAAGAAGAGGGAGGAAGUUCAGCUUUGAAUGGAAAUAAAAAAAUAAGAAACAAUUAAUCUCUGCUUUUACGUAAGCUCUUCACUUCCCAUUCAAAUUUCCUCUGGUUAUCACUCUUCUCCAUGAUUGUUGAAGUUUCACCCUUUUUGUGAAAUGUUGAAUGUAACGAAGUGUGAAAGUGGUGUUGAUCAAUGUGGGUUACGCCUAUAGAGAUACAAAAUGAUUAAUAAUUGUGGCACUUUUCAGAAUCUUUUUGUUGAGUUUGAGUGAUUAUGUAAUGAUGUCUUACUUGUUGUUUGUGUCAUUAGACUAUUAAAUUAGGAAGUGAUUGGAUUGCAUGGAGAAACAUUAUAGGGAUUCUGCGCCAGCUCAUGGUGCCACAGGUGCUUCCUGUCACUCCAUGUUUAAUGCAUGUGUGUGUAGUUGCAAGGACGUAGAGAUUUGUCUUUAAAUUAAGAAAAGAAAUCCAAUUUCAGCUAUUUUCAUAGGUUCAUAUGGCAUUUCCUUACUUAGUGUUGGUAGAAAUCAAAGGUGAGAAGCAGCGCAUGGAGGAUACCACGCAGUACUGCUACAUUUCCUGCAUUAAGUGACAUUAGCUUGUUCUCCAGUUGGGCAUGAAAAGUGUAAGGAUGAGACACUUCUAGUGAUAUCAUAGACUGGAAUCACCCAAAAUGAUUGUUUGACCUUUUGUGUUUUCUUUAUAUUACCAAUAUACAGUAAAUUUGACUGGUUCGGGACAUUAUGGUCAAUCUGCUAAUGAUAACUGGCCAAAUUAGGCAAAGUUCAUAAAGAUGAUGUGGGGCAAGAUGCACUUGAAGAUAAUAAAUAUUUUUAGCAUAGUA